AGUGGAUUAAGUAUUUGUUAAAACAUUCUAGUGGAGAUUCCUUCAACAACAGAUAGCAAAAUAGAAAGCUGCUCAAGAAUAUCAAAAGUUUAAAAGUAAACAGGAACUUCUUUGUUGGAGAUAUUCCUUUACACAUGCAGCUGGAAUUUAAACAGUUUAUGUUGCUAAAAUAACUUUUAAAUGGACACUGGAUAAAGUAUGAGGUGUGUAUAUGCAGUACCUGACAUAUGCCAAAACACACACAGAUAAAAUUAUGAGGCAUGAGACAUUUUUGGCUUCAGUGAUUUACACUUUGUAGAGUGAAUGGUGCUCACAGAGAAACCCUAUUGAUGUGUAAACUUUUUGAUGGUAUACACCUCUUGACUUGAUGGCAAAUAGUGGAAAACAGUGGCAUUCUCCAUGCUGGUUAGUGGAGAAUGGUGGAGAAAUAUCCAUGGCAAAUAGUGGCAUUUAGAGAAAAACAGUGGCAUAUUUUACACUGAUUGCCACAACAGUUAUGGUGGCAAAUAGUGGAAAAUUUUAGUGGCAAAUGGUGAAAUACAUUCCAAUACUCCACUGAUAGUGGCAUUCAAUGGAAAACAAUGGCAGUUUUUACAUCGAUAUGUGACAGUGGCAAACAGUGAAAAACUUAAAUGGCAAAUAGUGAAAAACAUUCCAAUACUCCACUGAUACUGGCAUUUAAUGUAAAAUGGUGGAAAAUUUUGACUGGCCUUUCCAACCUCUAUUUUUUCAAUGUUUUCCAUCAGUUUCCACUCAAAGAGGCUUGUUCCAAUACUCCAGUGUUUUCCAAUGAUUUUUCAGUGGAAAAUGGUGGCAAAUUUACAGAAGGGCAAGAUCCAGACCCCUAGCUCUAAGGUCAAGGUCACACUUAGAGGUUAAAGGUUAACAUGGUCUGUUUCUUGUCUGGUCCAUAACUCUGCCAUUGAUGAGGGGAUUUUGAAAUUACUUUGCAAAAAUGUUCCCUUUAAAUGAGAUGAGGUGUCAUGCACAAGGCCAAGACCCCUAGCUCCAAGGUCAAGAUCACACUUGAAUGUCAUAAGUGUUUCUUGUCUGGGCCAUAACUCUGCCAUUUAUCAAGGGAUUUGAAAAUAAUUUGACACAAAUGUUAACCGUAUUGAGAAGGUUUGUCAUGCUUAUGACCCGGGCCUCUUAGGUCAAGGUCAAUGUCAUGAAUUGAUGUGUGAUAUUUUGUGCAUACAACUGUAGCAUUCUCGGGCAC